GAACGUAGCGAAAUGCGAUACGUGGUGUGAAUUGCAGAAUCCCGCGAACCAUCGAAACUUUGAACGCAAGUUGCGCCUCAAGCCAUUCGGUUGAGGGCACGUAUGCUUGGGUGUCAUGCAUUAUGUCUCCCCUCUCGUGUGUGGAGUGGGAAUAGAUC
rnacentral:rRNA from 2 species